AACUUCGUAGCUCCGCUGGUAGACCAUGCGCGUACAAAGCGUAGGCGGUGUCCAUGCGUGGGUUCGAAUCCCACCGAGGCUA
rnacentral:tRNA from 1 species